rnacentral:rRNA from 1 species
GUGAGUAACAUGUAGGUAUCUGCCCUUUGGCCUGGAAUAACACGAGGAAACUUGUGCUAAUACCGGAUAAGUCUUUACGGAGAAAGCUUUAUGCACCAUUGGAUGAGCCUGCACUUGAUUAGUUUGUUGGUGGGGUAAUGGCCUACCAAGACUGUGAUCAAUAGCUGAUUUGAGAGGAUGAUCAGCCACAUUGGGACUGAGACACGGCCCAAACUCCUACGGGAGGCAGCAGUGGGGAAUCUUGCACAAUGGAGGAAACUCUGAUGCAGCGAUGCCGCGUGAGUGAAGAAGGCCCUUGGGUUGUAAAGCUCUUUCGUCGGGGAAGAAAAUGACUGUACCCGAAUAAGAAGGUCCGGCUAACUUCGUGCCAGCAGCCGCGGUAAUACGAAGGGACCUAGCGUAGUUCGGAAUUACUGGGCUUAAAGAGUUCGUAGGUGGUUGAAAAAGUUAGUGGUGAAAUCCCAGAGCUUAACUCUGGAACUGCCAUUAAAACUUUUCAGCUAGAGUAUGAUAGAGGAAAGCAGAAUU